rnacentral:rRNA from 1 species
CGACCGGCCACAUUGGGACUGAGAUACGGCCCAGACUCCUACGGGAGGCAGCAGUGGGGAAUAUUGCACAAUGGGCGGAAGCCUGAUGCAGCAACGCCGCGUGCGGGAUGACGGCCUUCGGGUUGUAAACCGCUUUCAGCAGGGGCGAAGCUUUUGUGACGGUACCUGCAGAAGAAGCACCGGCUAACUACGUGCCAGCAGCCGCGGUGAUACGUAGGGUGCGAGCGUUGUCCGGAUUUAUUGGGCGUAAAGAGCUCGUAGGUGGUUGAUUGCGUCGGAAGUGAAAACUUGGGGCUUAACCCUGAGCGUGCUUUCGAUACGGGUUGACUUGAGGAAGGUAGGGGAGAAUGGAAUUCCUGGUGGAGCGGUGGAAUGCGCAGAUAUCAGGAGGAACACCAGUGGCGAAGGCGGUUCUCUGGACCUUUCCUGACGCUGAGGAGCGAAAGCGUGGGGAGCGAACAGGCUUAGAUACCCUGGUAGUCCACGCUGUAAACGGUGGGUACUAGGUGUGGGGUCCAUUCCACGGAUUCCGUGCCGUAGCUAACGCAUUAAGUACCCCGCCUGGGGAGUACGGCCGCAAGGCUAAAACUCAAAGGAAUUGACGGGGCCCCGCACAAGCGGCGGAGCAUGCGGAUUAAUUCGAUGCAACGCGAAGAACCUUACCUGGGUUUGACAUGGACUGGGAGUGCUCAGAGAUGGGUACGCCUCCUUGUGGGGCUGGUUCACAGGUGGUGCAUGGCUGUCGUCAGCUCGUGUCGUGAGAUGUUGGGUUAAGUCCCGCAACGAGCGCAACCCUCGUUCACUGUUGCCAGCACGUUAUGGUGGGGACUCAGUGGAGACCGCCGGGGUCAACUCGGAGGAAGGUGGGGAUGACGUCAAGUCAUCAUGCCCCUUAUGUCCAGGGCUUCACGCAUGCUACAAUGGCCGGUACAAAGAGUUGCGAGCCUGUGAGGGUGAGCGAAUCUCGGAAAGCCGGUCUCAGUUCGGAUUGGGGUCUGCAACUCGACCCUAUGAAGUCGGAGUCGCUAGUAAUCGCAGAUCAGCAACGCUGCGGUGAAUACGUUCCCGGGGCUUGUACACACCGCCCGUCAAGUCAUGAAAGUCGGUAACACCCGAAGCCGGUGGCCUAACCUGUGUGGGGGAGCCGUCGAAGGUGGGACUGGUAAUUAGGACUAAGUCGUAACAAGGUAGCCGUACCGGAAGGUGCGGCUG